rnacentral:rRNA from 1 species
UACGUAGGGGGCGAGCGUUGUCCGGAAUCAUUGGGCGUAAAGAGCGUGUAGGCGGCUUGGCAAGUCUGACGUGAAAGCCCGCGGCUCAACCGCGGAUUGUCGUUGGAAACUGCCUCGCUAGAGUCCGGAAGAGGAGAGCGGAAUUCCUGGUGUAGCGGUGAAAUGCCGCAGAGUAUCGGGAAGAAGCACCCGUGGGCGAAGGCGGCCGU